rfam:Myotis lucifugus cont2.1781, whole genome shotgun sequence.
AGCCGUGUAGCUCAGUUGGGUAGAGCAUCCCAGUACACCAAGGUUGUGGGUUCGAUCCCCAUCAGGGCAC